GGAAUGCCAGUGGCCUGGGGGCAGAGAUGCCUGGACUUGAGCUGUGGAGAGAGAAAACUUCAAGCAGAGAGGCAUCUCCAGUGUCUACUAUGUACCAGAGACUGUUCUAGGUGUCAAGAUAGAGUGGUGAACAAAAGAGACCAGGUUCUUGCCUUCAUGAAUUGUGGAGACAGAGGUUAAGUCAGGUUGGUCAGAACAUGGGAUACAAAGCUGGGAAAGUGGAAAGAAUAUGCUUUGGUGUCAUUCUCUAUUUCAAGAAUAGUGGGUGGUUUUCACAUGAUGUACUAGUUCUGUGGACCCUCCCCAUAGACCUGGACAUAAGGCUAUGAUUGCAUGUUAAUGAUCACUACUAUAGGUGCAGUGAGGAAUGGGGCUUGCAUGCUUUGGAACCAGACCUAAAUUCAAGUUCUAGCUCUGGCACUUCCUAGACAGGUUUUGGGAGAGUUAUUUAACUAUUGUGAACUCAUUCCCUUGUUGGUAAAUACAGGGUGAAUUGAUAGGGUUGUGAAAAUUAAAAACUCCAAAAAAUGCUCAUUAAGUAUUAAUUCUCCCCAUCUUUCUCUCAUCUUAGUUUUCUUAGACAUAACAUGGGUAUAUACUACUGGCCUUGUCUAUUGUUGUGAGAUCUAUAAAUAAAUGAAAUAAAUGUGUGAAACCACUUUAAUACAGUCUGUAAUGUGAUAUUACUAUGUGUUAUUUCUGGAAAGGGAAGAUUUUCAGGCUCUCAGGCAGCUCUGGAGACUGGUAGAACUUAUGGAUUCUUCUAAAAUUAGGAGUCAUGGAU